AUUUGCGGAGAGACUAAAAUUAAAAAGCAGUGAUGUGCCGUCAAUAUUGGAUCCGAUAGGAAUGGCGCAGCAAUCUCAUGUUGUGGCUACAGUUGCCAUCAGGUGGACUUCCCAUCAUCACAAGCAUUUGGCUGAACUGGGAAGAGCAUUCGGCCAGAGUCAGAGCUUGGACUGAUGACCUCUGGUGUCCUCGGGAAUCCGAGGACGGGACAUGAAAAGCAAUAACUGAUAUUUGCGUAGAGGCUGCUCACAGAAAGUGUAUGGAGAGAUUACGCCAGGACCAGAUGAACGUCAUAUGCCCAUCCCUAACUAGAGAUUUCACCAGCUCCAGCUGAACAUACCGUGCCAUCCUCCUGCAAGAGCCUGUGGACUGACUGACCAUCCCAGCUCCAUCUCAGGCAAUUCCAUCACCACCCAAGAGCAAAGUGACCAUCUGACCAUCCAAGCUCCAGCUCUGGCAUUUCAAUCCCCAACCAAGAGCAAAGACGAACUGUCACAUUAAUGCUAAAUUUACAAUGAUUAGUAUAUUAAAUGCUAAACUUACAUCACAUGACAGCAGUUUGAAGUUAUAGCUGCACUCAGUUACAUUAUGCCAUUAUUAUUUUCCCUGCUUAUAACAUUCCUCUGUUGCCUGAUAUCGAUAAUUAAAAAAACAAAAAAACAAAAAAAUAAAAAAUAAAAAAAACAAAUUAGACCCAAACAGUUUCAACAAAUGAAAUUUCCUAAAUCACAACUAAUAAACUCUCCCUAUUCUUCCUAAACAUUUACUCAGUAUCUUUUAAUCAAAGUAACUGAGUGCAGCUGUGACAGGUCAGAGGAGACCUGGCCCUCUCGGCUGAGACUGGUUUCUCCCGAGGUUUUUUUCCUCCAUUUAUUUAUCAUUGAAGUUUGGGUUCCUCGCCACAGGGCAUUGUUGGCUGGCUUGCUCACCGGGAGACUACAUUUUCUGUGUUUUUCUCCUGUAAAGCUGCUUUGGACAAUCCUCAUUGGGAAAAGCGCUAUAUAAAUAAAAUUUAAUUUAAUUGAAUAUAAACAUCCAAAUCAAACCGCUCUUGAAAUGCUUGAUUAUAGUCUCAGAAGAUCAAUAUUGAUUUUACACAUUAAAACUCAUCCAAAUAACUCAUAAUAACUUAUAAUUAAAAUAAAUUAUUUUUAAACAACAAUCCUAAAAUCAAUCACAUAAAAAUCAAUCGUGAAGUCAAAUCUCAAAAGUCAAAUUUACAGUUGAAAGACAGUCUGCGUGCUUCAUUCGUGUCGUUUUGCUUGCACAAAAACUGAACACAGCAUUUCCCCUUAUUUCAUGUUUGCUACAAUAAUAAAAUAAGAACCCCAUACUUAAUUAAUAUCCACAGUAGCUUAUUUAUGGGUACAUGGGUACUUUUAUUUUAUUUAUAGAAGAGAAACGUUUAUUUUAUUUUAUGUAUAAACACACAUUGCUAGACAGGCAGGGAACACAAUCUACUUAACAGUUGAACUUAAUAUUAGACCAAAUUUGUAUGUAUUAUAACUACUAUUCAGAGUAAUAAAGCCAGAGAGAUCUUGGUUUUGCCUGUUGUUGAUAAAUACCAGCUGUGAAUUAUCACAACGCUCUUAAGCAAUCACGUCACACAAAAAUAAGUGAACAGUGUCCCAUUGUGAAGUGAGCCAGAGUCCUGACCAGUGCCAGAACCCGGCGUGUACACGAUAUACUGAUCGAAUGAAUAGUGAGUGUGACUUUCUACUGACAUCUAUCGGUCUGGAUGCAGGUUUUUGCAUAUUAUUUCAGUUAAAUUAUUAUAUUGUCAUUAUUAUGUAUAACUUAUUAUCACAAAAAACAUGUUGAUCAUUGCAAAACACGAAUGGUCAUGUUAAGUUAUGCUGGCUACCGUGAUUGGUGCAGGGGAUCAGGGUUUGGCUAGCUGGCAUGAUUAAUUGCCCCUGCUGGUGGAAGCCAUUCAAGUUUUUUGCAAACAAAUAUUUUAUUAUAUUGUACCUUUUUUAGGCCCUGGAAGGCCCAGUGUAGUCAGUAGUGCAGGGCUUGGGACUGCCUGUGUUCCUGUGAUGCCAUCUGCCAAUCAAUGCUACCAAUAUUGUAUUGUCCUACAUACUAAUUUCAACUCCAUUUUUAAUAUAACAAUGACUGAGAGCGGUAAGGAGGUCUGUGUGGCCUUUUAUGGUCCCCACGAGGAAAACAGCUUAUAAAUCAUACAAAACGGAAAUGAAAAUAUUUAAAAAUGCUAUAAAUCCCCGUAUAAAAAUCAUUACGUCUAUGCAAAGUCCCUCUAAAACAUGGAAACCCAACAUUUGUGUGUGUGUGAAAAAGAGGAGAGAGCCUCAUCUGAAACGGAUCUGUAACCUCAACAAACUGAUCCGAGCUUUGAUACCCAGCACUUGUGAUCUGAAAGCAGUCAUAUUGGGUUUGAUCCCAAACACACAAACACAAUCUAUUAAUGGUGCAUAGUCGCAGGGCCGUAGCUAGAGGAUUGGGGGCCCCCUGAAAAAAUAUUGAUGUGGGCCCCCCCACGCACACAUAUCAUAUACUGUACAAUAUACAAGCAUGGAGGCCCACAUAUAUCCUAAUAGGUGUUUCUUACAAAAUAACAAAACAGUUAACAAAUAAAUGCAUAUAAAGGUUUUUUACUGAACAUCAGCACAAGAAAAAUACACAAAUAUAAAACAAAUAUUAUAACAAAUAAAUAGCAACAGUAAAGCAACAAAAAAUAUUUUUGAUCAGUAAUGAACACUGAAAUAACUAUGAAAAUUAUGCAAACCAUUUUUAUAAUAAAUGGUGCUGCAUAAUAUAUUAUUGAACAAAGCUAAUCUCUUCUUCCAAGAGCAUUAUAUUGCAUUCAUGUUUUUCUUGACCGUAACACAGCCGGCAGGUCCGUAAUGCUUGUCAUAAUGCGUCAUGACUCGUGACAGUUUUUUUCUGUUUGUUAUACAAACCAAUUAACUCUAUUUACAGUUGCGUUAAAAAAAAAAAGACUGGGAUUUUGACCAUUCUAUGCGGUCGGCGACCAAUACACGCCAGUAGCCUAAAUAAAAUUAUGUGAUGGCGGCAGCGGUGGUCGAUAGUUUACAUGACAACAUACUAACCCCUUACAGAAAAGACACAUGAAUUUCACAUGUUUUUUACAUGUUUUUCGCAUGUGAUCACAUGUGAAAUGUGUGUUUUUGGUACAUUUUGGUGUGAAUUCCAUGUGAAUUCCCACGUGAAACGUGUGCAACAUGUGGUGACGUGAAGAACAUGUGAUCACAUGUGGAGACAUGUCGCAUAUGUUAUCCCAUGGGUUUUUACAUGUUAUCCCAUGGGUUUCACGUGGGAAUUCACAUGGAAUUCACACCAAAAUGUUCCAAAAACACACAUUUCACAUGUGAUCACAUGUGUUUUUUGCACAUGUGAAUUUCGUGUGUCUUUUCUGUAAGGGGUACCUGUCUUAAAGAAGGUCUUGAUAGACUGGGAUACAACAAUUCUCCUGGCCUCUCUCUCCUUCUUUUCAUUCCGUUUCUGGUAACCUGAUUUAUAUUUUCUUUUCCCCGACAUUGUCAGUCAGCAUGUACAUCGCUAACUUCAUCUGACGUCUCAACUCUGAUUGAUCGUCUUGUUCACGAGCUGGGGUGGGACUUCUGAGAAUACUUUGUAUCAGACUAAACCAUUUUUCGGGAGAGUAGAGGAGCAGAUAUUAGAAAAUUUCUUUAACCAAAUUCCAUGCAUUUUUGUGGUUUUCAUAAUAUCUCAGUUAUACAACUAAUAAAAUAUUAGAAUUAUUCACAGAACAUAGGCCUAUAUAGUAUAAUUCCUGGAUUUUGUGGGGCCCCCUGGGCGGUGGGGGCCCCUAGAAUUGUCCCCACCUUUCACCCCACUAGCGACAGCCCUGCAUAGUCAUACACUGGGCGAUGAGAGGCAAAUAUAUCAGAUCAGUGACUAAAGUCCAGAUAUGACUAGAUGAACAUACUGUAGAGUUUUUUUUGUAUAUCAUCUUCAGAAAGGGGCAUCCAGAUGACUGGACAAACACAAUAAACGUAAUAUACAGAAUAUAAAUGUAUAUUACUGUAUUAAGGUGAUAACAUUCACCCAAUAGUUUAUUCUGAACAACAGGUACAGUAGGCAAAUAAGAGCCAUAGGUUACCACUGCAUUGGUAUAUUUGUUGAAAAUACACAGCAAUGAUUAUUUCUCAAAAACAUUUUUAAUGUGUUCAAAGGUACUUUAGAAGUCUUAAUGCAAAAAUAAAAAUUUGACUAGAGUGUUCAGAUAACUGUCAAACAGACCUGUUACACAAUACAUUGCACAAACAAUUGGCCAGACCUGGACAAUGUUCCACUGCUGACAGUCUUAGGUUAAGCUUUUAGUGUUGUGUAGAGGUCAACUGGGUAUUGAAGGAGAGAAAGAGGGCAAGAAAGAGAGAGAAGAAAGAGAGAAACAGGGUACUGAUGGAGGUCAGGUCAAAUGUUAAUUUACCACAUGGCUCAGUUAAGAAAAAAACACCAAAAAAGAACCAGGACUUCAGACCAAAUCGCACACGCACGCACGCACUCGCACGCACGCACGCACACACACACACACACACACACACACACACACAAACACACACGCACAAAAAGGUGGAGUUUACAUGCUUGAAAUAGAAAACGGCAUCUACAUCUCACAUUUCACUGUGGGCUGUCACACACACAUUGCCCUGCCAAAUAUCCAGGGUAAAAGAAAGGGUAUGGGUAUAGCUCUCUGAUCUUACCUCUGCAGUGAUGGAGAGGAUGUGAGACCUUUUAAACUAGUCCUUUUAUAAAUAAACAUCUACAUUAGGGUGAGAGGAGUGUAUUUACUCAUGCAUGAAAUGUUUGUCUGUGUCUGAGGUAUGAAAUGCACCCGGGCCAUUUUCAGUCUGAUACUCUGCACGUCAACUUACCCGUGACUGUUUUCUUUAAGAUUUCUCCCCUUGAACUCUGUCUUUCUGUGUUUUGUCUUUUCCCCAGUGGGAGAGGAGUUUUGCAUACAGUAUGUGUAACAUUGACAUUUACACUAGACCCUGAUAAAAAAAAUAAAUGUGUGACUGCCCUUGUUUUACAGCAAUUCAACAAGAAUGUGACAAGAUAACAGCUACAUUCCUGUUUUUAUUAUUGUAACGACACUAUAGAUAGUGGAUAAUAGUGGCAAACUCCUGUGGAAAAACUGUUGCCAGGGCCAUGUGAUUGUUAAAGCAAGAACAUUUCUAAGUGGCCAAAAAUGAAUAAAAAAUAAUA